GUCGUAACAAGGUCUCCGUUGGUGAACCAGCGGAGGGAUCAUUACCGAGUUUACAACUCCCAAACCCCUGUGAACAUACCUUAUGUUGCCUCGGCGGAUCAGCCCGCGCCCCGUAAAAAGGGACGGCCCGCCGCAGGAACCCUAAACUCUGUUUUUAGUGGAACUUCUGAGUAUAAAAAACAAAUAAAUCAAAACUUUCAACAACGGAUCUCUUGGUUCUGGCAUCGAUGAAGAACGCAGCAAAAUGCGAUAAGUAAUGUGAAUUGCAGAAUUCAGUGAAUCAUCGAAUCUUUGAACGCACAUUGCGCCCGCCAGUAUUCUGGCGGGCAUGCCUGUUCGAGCGUCAUUUCAACCCUCAAGCCCAGCUUGGUGUUGGGAGCUGCAGUCCUGCUGCACUCCCCAAAUACAUUGGCGGUCACGUCGAGCUUCCAUAGCGUAGUAAUUUACAUAUCGUUACUGGUAAUCGUCGCGGCCACGCCGUUAAACCCCAACUUCUGAAUGUUGACCUCGGAUCAGGUAGGAAUACCCGCUGAACUUAAGCAUAUCAAUAAGC
rnacentral:rRNA from 1 species